UGCCUCAUGCUGUGACAGAUGUUGGUAU
rnacentral:piRNA from 1 species